rnacentral:rRNA from 1 species
ACGCUGGCGGCGUGCCUAAUACAUGCAAGUAGAACGCUGAAGAGAGGAGCUUGCUCUUCUUGGAUGAGUUGCGAACGGGUGAGUAACGCGUAGGUAACCUGCCUUGUAGCGGGGGAUAACUAUUGGAAACGAUAGCUAAUACCGCAUAACAAUGGAUGACACAUGUCAUUUAUUUGAAAGGGGCAAUUGCUCCACUACAAGAUGGACCUGCGUUGUAUUAGCUAGUAGGUGAGGUAAUGGCUCACCUAGGCGACGAUACAUAGCCGACCUGAGAGGGUGAUCGGCCACACUGGGACUGAGACACGGCCCAGACUCCUACGGGAGGCAGCAGUAGGGAAUCUUCGGCAAUGGGGGCAACCCUGACCGAGCAACGCCGCGUGAGUGAAGAAGGUUUUCGGAUCGUAAAGCUCUGUUGUAAGUCAAGAACGGGUGUGAGAGUGGAAAGUUCACACUGUGACGGUAGCUUACCAGAAAGGGACGGCUAACUACGUGCCAGCAGCCGCGGUAAUACGUAGGUCCCGAGCGUUGUCCGGAUUUAUUGGGCGUAAAGCGAGCGCAGGCGGUUUGAUAAGUCUGAAGUUAAAGGCUGUGGCUCAACCAUAGUUCGCUUUGGAAACUGUCAAACUUGAGUGCAGAAGGGGAGAGUGGAAUUCCAUGUGUAGCGGUGAAAUGCGUAGAUAUAUGGAGGAACACCGGUGGCGAAAGCGGCUCUCUGGUCUGUAACUGACGCUGAGGCUCGAAAGCGUGGGGAGCGAACAGGAUUAGAUACCCUGGUAGUCCACGCCGUAAACGAUGAGUGCUAGGUGUUGGAUCCUUUCCGGGAUUCAGUGCCGCAGCUAACGCAUUAAGCACUCCGCCUGGGGAGUACGACCGCAAGGUUGAAACUCAAAGGAAUUGACGGGGGCCCGCACAAGCGGUGGAGCAUGUGGUUUAAUUCGAAGCAACGCGAAGAACCUUACCAGGUCUUGACAUCCCGAUGCUAUUUCUAGAGAUAGAAAGUUACUUCGGUACAUCGGUGACAGGUGGUGCAUGGUUGUCGUCAGCUCGUGUCGUGAGAUGUUGGGUUAAGUCCCGCAACGAGCGCAACCCCUAUUGUUAGUUGCCAUCAUUCAGUUGGGCACUCUAGCGAGACUGCCGGUAAUAAACCGGAGGAAGGUGGGGAUGACGUCAAAUCAUCAUGCCCCUUAUGACCUGGGCUACACACGUGCUACAAUGGUUGGUACAACGAGUUGCGAGUCGGUGACGGCGAGCUAAUCUCUUAAAGCCAAUCUCAGUUCGGAUUGUAGGCUGCAACUCGCCUACAUGAAGUCGGAAUCGCUAGUAAUCGCGGAUCAGCACGCCGCGGUGAAUACGUUCCCGGGCCUUGUACACACCGCCCGUCACACCACGAGAGUUUGUAACACCCGAAGUCGGUGAGGUAACCUUUUGGAGCCAGCCGCCUAAGGUGGGAC